GAUGAAGAACGCAGCGAAGUGCGAUAAGUAAUGUGAAUUGCAGAAUUCCGUGAAUCAUCGAAUCUUUGAACGCAAAUUGCACUCUCUGGCAACCCGGGGAGUAUGCCUGUUUGAGGGUCAGUGUUAAUAAAAAUCGGGUUCGUUGCAAUUUUUGUGACGUUUCCGGAGUUUGAGUUAUCUUAACUUCGGUUUUUAAGAGGCUUAAAAUUGACCUUUUUUUGUGCAUUUUAGACGUACAUAAAUUUUUUUUUAUUCGCCUAUCCUAAUGCCAAAAUCUAUUAGAUGCGACCAUAUCUUGUGGUUCCGUGUCUAUAAAUUUUUCAUGAUUUGACCUCAAAUCAGGUAGGAACACCCGCUGAACUUAAGCAUAUCAAUAAGCGGAGGA
rnacentral:misc_RNA from 1 species